CCUCUCCCUCAGCGGGGCUCCCUCUCCCUCAGCGGGGCUCGGCGCCCCGGGCCGCUGCGUCUGGGGGCGUCCCUCCCCCCCCCAGCCCCCAGGAAAAUGGCGCUCGCCUGCUGUCACCACGGGCUGCCCUCAGCCCUGGCCCUUUCUGCGGUUUGGCGGGAUUUUGGUUGUUUUCUGUUUUGUUGGUUUCGUUUGUUCUGGUUUUUAGGAAAAUAUCCAGCUUUUAUAGUAAGAGAGUGAGCUUAGUGGGCAAAAAAAGAGGAAGGCUAAGGAAGUUGAGCCCCCCAAACGAUGGCACUUCCACCGCAUGCACAUCCCUCUUCCUAUAAUCUUGUUUUUAUGCGCUUUUCACAGUUUUCUGGCUGGGGAGGACAGUAAAUCUGACAUGAUCCCCCAUCAGCACAUGCGGCUGGGGGGUCCAGGCACAGCGCAGACAUUGCUGCUGGGACACCCCGUACCAAAGACAGAUGCCACCUCUCUCGCCUCCCUCUCCGCAAAACCUGAAUUUCCUAAUAGGCUUUGAUAACAUUAACUUGCUUUAAUUUGGCUUCUGCCCUUUCCCGUAGGCGCAGUUCUCGGACACGCCGCAAGCAGCUGGCCCGUGAAGCCUUUUGCUGCUCCAUGCUUUUCUGGGAAGCCGAGGCUGAGCCCCCGCAGCCGCCUCCAGUAAUUUCUACUUUUUCUCCCCGCAACGAAACUGUGCUGUGAACAUCAGCCUGCUAAUUUACACUGCCUAGGAGGUGAAAGGAAACUCCCCCAGAAAAGACAACUCGCCAGCAAUGAUGUUUUUACUUCCCCUUCUGGAAUAUGGAGUAGUAACUGUAAGGGGAAGAGAAUACUCAACUGGGGCAGAGCUGGGGAUUCUAUUCUAAGAGGUAAAGAAAGCAAGAGUGAACACCACUUCUUAACAAAUGCUGUCUACCACCACCUAGUGGAAAACACCACCUCAGGCUCCUUCACCUACAUAAAUUUGUAAUCUUGGGGACAGGCAUGACCUGACUGCAGCGUGUGUGUCCCCUCCACGCUAUAUGGAAAUACAAAUUAGCAAAAACUUUGUUUCUUUCUAAGAACUAUUUCUAAAACUGGACGCCAUACUUCCUGGUCUGUCAUCUGACCUAAAUCCUCAGUUUUGUCAUCUGCAAAAUGGAGGCAGGAAGAAUUUUAUGAAGUUUAAUUAGUGCAAAGUGCUCUUAAUAGCAAAUAGGGCUUUCGGUCCAAGGAUCUCAGACUGCUUUGGUCCAAGUACUCAAAUUACUGAGGCUUCAGUCAGCGAUCCAAGAGGCAGAUGUACUGCUGUGCUUGCUAUAUAGAAAGAUAAAUAGCAGGGGUUGCAAAGUUACAGUUGCCUGAAUUCACAUAAUAAAUCAAUAGGGGAGCAGGAGGAAAAAAUCUGCAUAGUUGCAGAAUUGUUGGAUCCCUGCUGUUCAUUUUACCCCUGGUAGCUUUUGGAGGGAGGAGACCUUCCUUCACCUUUGUAUAUGCAAAGUAUUUUUUUGUAAAUGGAGACCAGAUCCUGGCAGCCAGCACAGUACAAACAAUUCAGAACAGGUUCCUGUGCUUAUAGGGUUGCUCGAACCACAUUGGCCACACUAUUCAUCCAAACAUCAUCUGUGAAUAUAGGGAAGGAAGAGCAACGCUUACAGUAACACUAACUCAACUGGACAGCUUGGGCUUUGGGUGAGCAGCUCAUUUUCUUGAUGCUGUUAUGUCUGGUACCUCAGGGGCUGUACCAAAUAGAUGAGAUUUAACUUGCUGAGUCAGGAGGCCUGCGUUUGGCAGAGGAAGGAGGAGAUAGGUUUAGUCACCUCUCAAGUGUUUGUUCCCAGUCCUCUUUUCAAAAGCACAGCCCCUGAAAUUAGCCAAGGGAGAGUCCUUACGUCUUGGGAAGAGCGGGAGCAGGAUGGGGCCAGGAAACCGGCCUGCAUUUAUCGCCCGUUCUCGGUUUCUGCCAGGUUCUAGCUGCCAAUACUGCUGAAUCGCUGGAGCCACUCACAGCUCCUGACUCUGAGAUGUUGUGGCAGCAGAAAAGGCACUGCAAGAGCCUGUGGCUGACAGCCCCUGACAUUUUUUGCUUUGCGAGUACGCAUUCAGGCUGGCGUUUUGCUUGCAGCUGAAGUUUAUGUUGUCUGGAGAGACGGUCUCCAAGCAGGAGACAUGCUGGGGUUUGCCACCUUGUAUCAAGUUCGUGCGUGGCUCCUGUUCAAAGCUGUGGCAAUAAAUGGCAGCUUCUGUUGACAGAUGUGCACAGGCAGGACCAGAGCAGCUUAUUUCCACUUAAACUACUGCCAAAAGGGUGUGAACACGGCGCACAAAAUCAUUUUUAAGUCCACUAGAGGAAUUUUGUAGCGCAGAAUAGAACAGGUUUUCUCAAGCCGCCUUUGCUGGGAGUUCGAAUGAAGGUCCUUUUCUUUGCAAAGAACAGACAGCAACACCCUUGUGGUUGCUUACCCAUACCUCAGCAGAGAGAUAAACCCUGUUUUAAUCUUUGAUUGCUUGAACCCACUUGCAACCCAUUCUGAAAGAACAUCCACAAUCUGUUCAGAGAGGAAGGAUGGGUUUGGACAUUGUCAUUCCUUUCACCCACUAUCUCCCCAUGACUCAUUUAAUUCUUCAUGUGAGCAUAUAGUAAGAAAACCACACAGUGAUUUCAGGAGGGAUAGAAAAAAGGAUCGCUGCAGAAUCGACCUUCUCUAGCAAGUGGCAAAAGACAAAAGAACCGAGUGUGGGUCUGAGGCACAAGUUAAAGAUCAAAACUGGCAGCACCAUAACAAGCCCUCUACAGAGCUGCUUCUGAAAUGGAGCUGCCUGAAUCGUGCCGGGCCGACACCAGGAAUCAUCGUUCGCACGCAGCUAGAAAAAGAACUCCCUGAGGCAGGAGGGAGAACUGGGCCCAGACCGAAGCUCAGCAGGCAACUCGAGAGCUGGAAAUUGUCUGCGGCAAUACUUUUCCGUUCCUUCUUUCCCUGACAGCUGAACUAACACUUGUCGCAGGAGUGCAAACCAGGCAAUUAUAGCAAGCAUGGAUGCCACAGGGCUGGACAGGCUCGCUAUUUAUAGUUCCUUGCCGAGAGAGCUUUCCUGCUGUGCUGCUGUACACAGGUUAAGGUGCAGUCCAUGCCUUGAAGGGCUCACAGUCUAAAUAAAAAUAGAAAGAAGGAGUAGCAACCUCUUUCAUGAUGAGAGCCGAGACUCAGAGAUGAAAGGAUAAAAAGGAAAUCCACAGCAGAGCCUGGAACAAUGAAAUUCAACUUCUGCCCCCGAAAUUGCCCUUUAUUUUGUUAACUCCUUCCACGCCUGAAGUGCCACCUUCUCUGCUACUCAUAAUUAGUGCCAAACAGUCUCAUACAGUGUCACUGAGGUGUUCUUGCAAGCUCUGGCCUGCCUUGCCGCUGUUCAGUGAUUUAUUUUCCCUACCUACAGCAGAGAUGGGAGAAGGGAUGUGUGCCUGCCCUUCACUCCCUGCUGAGAGCUGGGCCCGUGCCCAGGUGUGGACAGGGUGGGAAGCAAGGGACCAGGACCGCAUCCUGGAGCUAAAGGGAUGACAGACUCCCAGGAGCGGAGCAGGCUGCCAGCUCCAAGCGUUCAGAGUCUCAGCCAACUGCAGAUGCAAGUCAAAGACUCUCCUUUGUUUCAGGGGGAGGAUUAAAACACGAGCUGUUUGCGAGUUGAACUUUGAAGUAUCUUUGUAGCAAUUUGAAAUGCGGUUGCCCAACAAAGAGAAACCUUUACAAAUACAUUUUUUUGUAUUUGAAGUUAGAGACCAUCCACUGGCCUAUUUUAAGGCAUACAUUUGAACUGGCCAUGAAUCCUGCCUCUGUUCUCAUGCACUAAAAGGCAAGAGAGGAUUCACUUGACCUGCACUAUCAAAUACAGAGAAAAUAAGGCAUUUGCCUGGGAAAGAACCACCCAAAAUAGCAGUGAAGAAAUCGUGCUGCGACAUGAGCUGUUAGUGAUGAGAGACAAGAAAAAUGAGUUCUAAGAGCUGGUAGACUUCUUCUAAUGACGUAUUAAUGAAAACUGCUAGAAAAUUAUAUGGUGAUGCUAAUUAGUCUUUCUAGGUUUAAGGACCUGAGAUCUUUCCCUUUUACACUAAAUACUCACAUAAGAGUAGGGAAUAAUCCUUGUUGAGGUGAGUUCUCAGCGUUCUUUAAGGAUUCUUUCUAGAUCCACCUGACAUUUCCUUUGCUGAACACGGCUUUUAGCUCAGAAACCAAUGCUCUUGCCUGAGGAAACCCUCCCCUGGCAGCCGGUUUUUGAUCGAUUGAUUUGACUGCUUGCGUUAAACAUGAUGCAACACGGUAUGACAAAUGCAAGCGAACAUCAGGAUGGAGCGCAACGGAAAUGCUGCAUGCUAUCUGGCAGGUCAGCAGGAGGGGAAGGAAUUACUUGCCUGGUAACAGCACAUGGAAAAGCACAGAGGCAGGGGGUAGGAUUCAUCUGCAAACAUCUCAUGCUCCCUAAACUUUUUACAGCCCUGUCAUGGUUUAACCCCGGCCGGCAACCAAGCCCCACGCAGCUGCUCGCUCACUCCCCCCCACCCAGAGGGAUGGGGAAGAGGAUCGGAAAGGAAUGUAAAACUCAAGGGUUGAGAUAAGAACAAUUUAAUUGGUAUAGCAAAAGCCACACACACAAGCAAAGCAAAGCAAGGAAUUAAUUCCCCACUUCCCAUGGGCAGGCAGGUGUUCGGCCAUCCCCAGGGCAGCAGGGCUCCAUCACGUGUAACAGUUACUCGGGAAGACAAACACCGUAAUGCCAAAUGUCCCCACCUUCCUCCUUCUUCCCCCAGUUCAUAUACUCAGCAUGACGUCCCAUGGUAUGGAAUAGCCCUUUGGCUGGCUUGGGUCACCUGUCCUGGCUGUGUCCCCUCCCAAUUUCCCCUGCCCCUCCAGCCCUCGGGCUGGCAGGGCCCAAGGAACCGAAAAGUCCUUGAUUUAGUAUAAACAUCGCCCAGCAACAGCUGAAACCAUCAGCGUGCCAUCAACAUUGUUCCCACAUCAGAGCCAAAACACAGCACUGUACUAGCUACUAAGAAGAAAAUUAACUCUGUCCCAGCCGAAACCAGGACAAGCCCCUCAUUCGGCUUUGCAAUGUCCUAAAGCAGACAAUUAUGACUAUAUCAAUUUUGUGUCUUUCCCCUCCUUCAAGAAGCUGGAGAAUGAACCCAGAAGAGCUGCCUGUGGAUGUAUUAACUUCCCACUAUCGCAUCAGCGAGACCAUAUGUAUCACGCAUUUCCCACUGACAAGGAAAGAAAGGUUAAAACCUUGCAUGACAGGUUAACAGCAUGAUUUGCAGCAGCGGCUUAAAUAAAUGGUCGCAGGCACGAAAGACUAGCAGGCAGCUAAUCCUUUAAAGAUUUAAGAGCAGCUACUACUUCAGUCCAAGUAAAUAUUUCAAAAUAAAAUUAAUUAAUGGUGACUAGUGGAUUUUUUUCUGCUUCGUUUUAACAGCCCAGGCUGAAAUGGCGAUGCCGCCACGGAACUUGCACUUUCAGUGCCAAAACUGUUAUUUCAUAGAGGCAAGAAAGAGUCCUCCCAAAGAAGAUUUGUUGCAGUUUUGUUCCUUACUGUAACCGCAGCAGAACUGGAAAAGCUCUGUACGAAUCUCGCGGGUCGGUGUUAGUGUCAGAGAGGCAAGCGCCAAGAGCAACCUUUAUGCUGCCCCAGAGAUGCAGGACAACAUCAUGGCUCGGUGUCCAACAGAAGCACAAUGCAGAGGAAGGAAGCGUUCGCUUCCUGAUUCUUGUCAUAAGUAAGCUCUGUCCAUGCGGGCCACAAAAAAAGACCUCCUCAUAACUGUCUUCCUUCCGAUUAAAAGAACUUUCUUAACACCUUCCUAGACACAGGUGAAAGCAUGGAAGGAAAGGCUCUCAAGGUAACAAGUACCUAACCAGCACACACAAAGUCUGCCCGAGCCCGGAGAAACAAAGCAGUCAAUGAAAUGAUUUGGAAACAACAAUUUCUACUCCUCAAUUAAACUUUUUUUUUCCCCAGUAUUCCCCAAUAUCCCUCCCUCCCCCCCCCCGACCUUUGGCUCCAUCUCAGAACAAAGGCAGUUCUCUUGGGAGGGAGGAAUCUGUCAUGGCCCACUGAACUGUCUGGACUAUUUUUAGUUAAAUCCAGCAUUCCUAAAAACAUCGAGCUGCUUGUGUGUUAAGGAAGGAGAAGGGAAACGCCGUGAGCGCGCACAUCCACAUUUCACACGGGGAGCGCAGAACACGGCAUGCCAUCUGCCUUGCAGCACGACAGUGUAGCUGGGCUGAACGCAGAGCUCUGGGAAAAAGGCAAAGAACAUUUCACCGGGUAGAGAAGGCAGAAAACCAAGGCAGGAUUGCCGACUUCCCCGAGCUGGAAGAGGCAAACCAAAGGUCUCUGCUCGCAGCUGGGAGGCCAGGGAGAUGCAAGGGCUGGGCGAUUUGCACUUACCUGCUAAACUGAUGAGCUGCAGUUCCAGGGUUCAGCGAUGAGGAGAGUGCCAAGUGGAGAGGCAGGAUCAGCCAAGUAGUCCUGGAGGUGCUUUGCAGGUUGAGAUCUUGCUGGCACGAGCAGGACAAACACCCCAAGGGAA